AUGUCUCAUGGGCGAUCAACCAAUUUUUUGCUUUCUUCUUAAUUAUGUCUCAUGUGCAAUCAAACCCUUUCUUUACCAUAGUAGUAUGUGUGAAAUGUAAAACCGGCUCCUUUUGUUUUCAAAGAUAAAUAUAAUAAUCAACAAAGAAUGUGAAAUGAUAUGGCUACAGUAUUAAAUUUUUUGCGCAGACAAGAUAAGGCAAGAUGAACGUACAAACCGCCGAACCAUUAUUUUUGGCAAGCCUGUGCUUCACUGGUAGGCAAUGAAAGCUACAAU
rnacentral:lncRNA from 1 species